UUGCAGCCUCCUCCACCUGUUAGUGAUACCAAUCCAUAUAAUGUAUUUAGGCCAAGGGAGAAGGCUCACAGGCUUCACACAAGGAGGAUGCAAAGGAGGGAAAACAAUGUGCAGUCAUUUGAAAAGCUUCGCCAGGUUAGGCGCAACCUUGACCAAGCAAAGACCAUUCUUGAGGCUCUCAUCAAGAGAGAGGAGAAGAAACGAGAGGUUGUGGAGAGUGAGGUUAGUCUUCAGAGACUUCAAAUGAAACACAAGG